rnacentral:misc_RNA from 1 species
UUGUGCCCCAUUUGCCAAACCUACAUAAUCACUAGGAUUAGACUGUGCGAGUAAUUCAUCAGAUUAAGCAGUCUGUUCAGAACUUGACAGAAUGAAUCAUUGCUGGAAGUUCCAAAACCUGACAGGAUGAAGCACAUUGAUGGAUUAAAUCCCAUAAAAUGCACUUCUUCUAUUUCAGUUCUCUGUGCAUAUCUAUUUGGGUAACCUUCUUUAAUUAAUGUCAAAGAACCAAAUAGUUCUGUUUGAUUUUGAUUCCUGUUGUGAACUUCUGAUUUGAUCAGAUACUUUCUUGUUUGAACAUGUUUCUUUCUUCAGAAGUGAAAACGAUUGUGUCAGAGAUAUAAGAUAUGCUUAGCCUUAACUUACG